GAUGAACGCUGGCGGCGUGCCUAAUACAUGCAAGUCGAGCGAACAGACGAGGAGCUUGCUCCUCUGACGUUAGCGGCGGACGGGUGAGUAACACGUGGAUAACCUACCUAUAAGACUGGGAUAACUUCGGGAAACCGGAGCUAAUACCGGAUAAUAUAUUGAACCGCAUGGUUCAAUAGUGAAAGACGGUUUUGCUGUCACUUAUAGAUGGAUCCGCGCCGCAUUAGCUAGUUGGUAAGGUAACGGCUUACCAAGGCAACGAUGCGUAGCCGACCUGAGAGGGUGAUCGGCCACACUGGAACUGAGACACGGUCAAGACUCCUACGGGAGGCAGCAGUAGGGAAUCUUCCGCAAUGGGCGAAAGCCUGACGGAGCAACGCCGCGUGAGUGAUGAAGGUCUUCGGAUCGUAAAACUCUGUUAUUAGGGAAGAACAAAUGUGUAAGUAACUAUGCACGUCUUGACGGUACCUAAUAAGAAAGCCACGGCUAACUACGUG
rnacentral:rRNA from 1 species